UCGGAGUUUACUUUGGAUGUCUCCAGUGGCGCACGGGUGCGUAACACGUGAGUUACAUGCCCUGCAGUGGGGAAUAGCCCGCCGAAAGGCGGAUUAAUACCCCAUGGUACCGCAAGGUUAAAGGUGGCGAAAGCUGCCGCUGCAGGAUUGGCUCGCGGCCUAUCAGCUUGUUGGUGAGGUAACGGCUCACCAAGGCUACGACGGGUACCUGGUCUGAGAGGAUGAUCAGGCACACUGGAACUGAGACACGGUCCAGACACCUACGGGUGGCAGCAGUCGAGAAUAAUUCACAAUGGGCGAAAGCCUGAUGGUGCAACGCCGCGUGGAGGAUGACGGUCUUCGGAUUGUAAACUCCUGUCAUCGGGGAGUAAGACCUGGCGGUAAAUAGCCGACAGGGUUGAUAGUACCCGAAGAGGAAGGGACGGCUAACUUCGUGCCAGCAGCCGCGGUAAUACGAAGGUCCCGAGCGUUGUUCGGAAUCACUGGGCGUAAAGGGAGCGUAGGCGGCGUGGUAAGUCAGAUGUGAAAUCCCGGGGCUCAACCCCGGAACUGCAUCCGAUACUGCCAUGCUUGAGUAAUGGAGGGGUAGCUGGAAUUCUCGGUGUAGCAGUGAAAUGCGUGGAUAUCGAGAGGAACACUCG
rnacentral:rRNA from 1 species